UGCAUCUUCUGGCUCACUUUCUUCUUGUUGGC
rnacentral:piRNA from 1 species